rnacentral:sRNA from 1 species
GCUGGGUGUGGUGGCACAUAUCUGUAAUCCCAGCAUCUCAGGAGGCUGAGGCAGGAGGAUCAUGAGUUCAAAGCCAGCCUCAGCAACAGUGAGGCACUAAGCAACUCAGUGAGAGCCUGUCUCUA